rnacentral:rRNA from 1 species
GACGAACGCUGGCGGCGUGCUUAACACAUGCAAGUCGGACGAUGAAGCCGGAGCUUGCUCUGGUGAAUUAGUGGCGAACGGGUGAGUAACACGUGAGUAACCUGCCCUUGACUCUGGGAUAACUGCGGGAAACUGUAGCUAAUACCGGAUAACAUUUUGAACCGCAUGGUUCGAAAUUGAAAGGCGGCUUCGGCUGUCACUUAUGGAUGGACCCGCGUCGCAUUAGCUAGUUGGUGAGGUAACGGCUCACCAAGGCAACGAUGCGUAGCCGACCUGAGAGGGUGAUCGGCCACACUGGGACUGAGGCACGGCCCAGACUCCUGCGGGAGGCAGCAGUAGGGAAUCUUCCGCAAUGGACGAAAGUCUGACGGAGCAACGCCGCGUGAGCGAAGAAGGCCUUCGGGUCGUAAAGCUCUGUUGUCAGGGAAGAACAAGUACCGGAGUAAUUGCCGGUACCUUGACGGUACCUGACCAGAAAGCCACGGCUAACUACGUGCCAGCCGCCGCAGUAA